rnacentral:rRNA from 1 species
AGUACGAGUGCAUGCUCCGGCGCCAUGCGGCGCGGCAUUCGAUUAGAGCUUGAUCCGGAUAUAAUCUCUGGCGGCAGGCCUAACACAUGCAAGAGAAAGCAUCAGGUCCUUCGGGAUGCCGGCGAGCGGCGGACGGGUGAGUAAUGCCUAGGAAUCUGCCUGGUACUGGGGGAUAACUCGGGGAAACUCGAGCUAAUACCGCAUACGUCCUACGGGAGAAAGCGGGGGAUCUUCGGACCUCGCGCUACCAGAUGAGCCUAGGUCGGAUUAGCUAGUUGGUGAGGUAAAGGCUCACCAAGGCGACGAUCCGUAGCUGGUCUGAGAGGAUGAUCAGCCACACUGGAACUGAGAUACGGUCCAGACUCCUACGGGAGGCAGCAGUGGGGAAUAUUGGACAAUGGGCGAAAGCCUGAUCCAGCCAUGCCGCGUGUGUGAAGAAGGUCUUCGGAUUGUAAAGCACUUUAAGUUGGGAGGAAGGACAGUAAGUUAAUACCUUGCUGUUUUGACGUUACCGACAGAAUAAGCACCGGCUAACUUCGUGCCAGCAGCCGCGGUAAUACGAAGGGUGCAAGCGUUAAUCGGAAUUACUGGGCGUAAAGCGCGCGUAGGUGGUUUGAUAAGUUGGAUGUGAAAGCCCCGGGCUCAACCUGGGAAUUGCAUCCAAAACUGUCUGACUAGAGUAUGGCAGAGGGUGGUGGAAUUUCCUGUGUAGCGGUGAGAUGCGUAGAUAUAGGAAGGAACACCAGUGGCGAAGGCGACCACCUGGGCUAAUACUGACACUGAGGUGCGAAAGCGUGGGG